GGCGCACGCGGCCGCGCGCAGCGCUUCACUUCACUUAAUUACGAACACCUGACCUGCAGUGCAGCAGAAUUCAGAGGUCCAGUUGAGGGGCAUCAAGAACACGCAGAUGGCCUAAACCUGUGUCAGCCUGGACAGACUGCAGUUCUGCUAUUCCACGCCAAGGCUUUUGUAUGGAUGUCUGACUACUACUGUGUUCUCUAAAGGUUUUCUGGAAGCUCCAUUUGAGUUCAUCAAGGACAUACUGAUGGCCUAAACCAGUGUCAGCCUAGACAGACAGACAGACAGACAUCUAUUGCAGCUCUGCUACACCACACCAAACUCUCUGCUUUUGUAUGGAUGUCUGACUAGUACGGUGUUCUCUAAAGGUAUAACUGGAGCAAAACAACAGCACCCGUUACAGUGAAAUUUGUGUUCAUAAAAGAUAGUGAUAUAUGUGUAACAGGUCCAGUACAUUUGUCAUAAAGGUUAAAUCACAGUAAGUACUGUAAAAAUAACUUGUUUGCCUUUGCCACAACAGGUCAU
ensembl:processed_transcript